UACGAAGGGGGCUAGCGUUGCUCGGAAUCACUGGGCGUAAAGGGUGCGUAGGCGGUUCUUUAAGUCUGGGGUGAAAUCCUGGAGCUCAACUCCAGAACUGCCUUUGAUACUGAGGAUCUUGAGUUCGGGAGAGGUGAGUGGAACUGCGAGUGUAGAGGUGAAAUUCGUAGAUAUUCGCAAGAACACCAGUGGCGAAGGCGGCUCACUGGCCCGAUACUGACGCUGAGGCACGAAAGCGUGGGGAGCAAACAGG
rnacentral:rRNA from 1 species